CCUGUCUCUCCCAGAGUCACUUGUGGUGGGUGGGAGGCUCACGGGAGCCCCAGGCCCCCUGCAUGACCUCAGGAGGGGCUGCUGGCUGAGUGGAGACCCCCAGGUGGGGCUGCUGCUGGGACCAGCACCAGAGGGACAAGGGUGACGGAGGGAGGCAGUGGGACCAUCUGGCCCUGGGUUCCUCCCUCCCUUCCCCUCCAGGCCUCAGCUGCAGCUCUUGGCCACUGGGCCCCCGUGUGGACACUGUCUCUGAUCAGGCCCAGCUGCGUGGCGGUCACUUGGCCAGGAGUGGUCUCUGCAGGCGACACAGCGGGAGCAGGACAGGCCACUCACAGCCAGCCAGGAACUGUGGGACGGAAUCUCAGGCCUCAUACCCGCCCCAGGCAGGCACGGCCCCUGGGCCCUCAGGUUGCCUCACGGACUGUUUGCUGUGACGUAGCACAGCCCUCUGUCUUCCCACCUUCGGGGUGUCUCAGUUGUCUGCUCACUGGUUGGCUCCAUGCCGAGCAGACUCGACGCACGUCAGUGCUGGCUGUGGUGGCACCAUCGCAGUGACCUCCCUCUUGGUGAAGGGGGUUCUGCUGUUCCCAGGAAGCUGCUGACUGCUCCUGGGUGUGCCUGACAUGCAGCUGCUCUCUUCGAGGGGUGGGCACGGGCACCCUCAGGCCUGAGGCUCUGCCGUCCUCACUGCUGAAAGAGAAGUGUCAACCCAGAAUGCUAUACCCAGUGAGAAGACUGUUCAGAAAUGAAAGGGGCAUCAAGACGUUCUCGGAUGAAGGAAAACCAAGUGCGUUUGUCACUGGUGGACCUUCCCCAGAAGAGUGGCUAAGCAAGGUCUCGAGGCAGAAAUGCAAACAAUGGAAGAGAAAACCGUGGAACGUCGGUAAGGAAGAAAGAACACGCAGAAUUAGGGGUGAAUGUAACAGGUUUCCUUCUCCUUGCGAGUUUUCUAAAUCAGGAUACUGAUUGAUGUGAUUCUCGAUAAAUGCAAAGAUGUUUAUGGCGUGUUGUAGAUGGGAGAACUAAAGGACCCUAGGAGGGGAGGCUUCGACUCUCCCUUAAACUGGUGGAACGCCGACAUCGGUGAACCGUCGUGAGCCACGUGUAAGUGACAACCUGGAGCAGCAACUGAAACAGGGUGUGAAGAGAUACACUCAAAACACCACCAAUAACCCAACAAACGAUCCCACGCCAUGAAGACACUCUCCUGUUUGCUGAAGCUAAUUAAAAUGGAGACUGAGUCUAAAAGAUCCUGAGCAGACACAUCCUCAUAGGACUCAUGAGUGAUGGCAGUCUUGCUUCAUUUGCAAAUAUAAGUGAAACUUUUUUUUUUUUUUGAGACGGAGUUUCACUCUGUCACCCAGGCUGGAGUGCAAUGUCACGAUCUUGGCUCACCACGACCUCUGCCUUGCAGGUUCAAGCAAUUCUCCUGCCUCAGCCCACGCCCGGCUAAGGGGUUUCUCCAUGUUGGUCAGGCUGGUUUUGAACUCCUGACCUCAGGUGAUCCGCCUGCCUCGGCCUCCCAAAGAGCUGGGAUUACAGGCAGGAGCCACUGUGCCCGGCUGAAACCUUUUUUUUUUAAAUUUUAGGAUGGAGUCUCAGUCUGUCAUCUGAAGUGCGGUGGGGUAUAUGGCUGCGGUGCAGUGGCGUGAUCUCGGCUCACCGCAACCUCUGCCUCCCGGGUUCAAGUGAUUCUCCUGCCUCAGUCUCCUUGGUAGUGGGGACAACAGGCAUGUGCCACCAUACCUGGCUAAUUUUUAUGUUUUUUUUUUUUUUGUGGAGACGGGGUUUCAAUGUGUUGGCAGGGCUGGUCUUGAACCCCUGCCUUCAAGUGAUCCACCUGCCUCGGACUCCCAAAGCGCCGGGAUUACAGGCAUGAGCCACCACAACCCGCCCAUAAGUGAAACUUAACUUGAGCCUACAGUGGGACAGAGCAGAUCAGGGAACAGGGUGUCACCAUCCACUUUGGUUUCCUUCUGCGCCCGUCUUCUCAAAGCCUCCACCUGCAUUCCCUCCUCGGAGCUCUUGAACCUCUUCUGGUUUGCAGCUGCUCUAUUCAAAGAAUGUAUUUGCUCAA